AGACCCUGAUGGGCAAAACCAUCACCCUCAAGGUUGAGCCCAGUGACACCAUUGAGAAUGUCAAAGCCAAAAUCCAAGACGAGGAGGGCAUCCUCCCUGACCAGCAGCAUCUGAUUGUUAGUGCAAAAGUCUGAAAUCCAG